ACUCAAAAAUCUCCAUAGCAGGCAUUGGUCUAUUGGGCAAAGUCAAUUGCAUAACCACUUAACUCAUAACCACUUGCAAGCUUACUGCAACUUUCUUUUAGUUCAUAACGGUCCAAUAACUUAAAGGCCGUUGAACUCAUUAAAAAUCCAAAUAUAUUUUUGAAUCAUUGGAGUUCUUCAAAUAUGCUUUUCAGUGAAUUGGUUGCCACAUCAACCAUAACAAAACAAGAAAAAAAAAACUUCAAAAGCCUUCUGAGCUUGCAAGAUUGCUUCAUCGCAGUCAGUUUAAUCAAAUUGCCUCUUCCUAGGUGCACGGCGUUUUACUAGAAAUGAUGACUCUACACCCGUUUUAGAUGCGAUUUCUUUGGCAAUGAUCACACCAGAAGCAAACCCUUCAUUUCUGUAAGUGCCAAAGUAAUUCCUCAUACCUUCUAUUUGUGUUAAGGCAGACUCAAUGCACAUGGAUAGUGAUUGCAACUUCCUGCUCACUAUAGCUACAACAAAUAGAAUAUCAUUCCAAAUGACCCUAGCCUUGGGUUUGGUACCACUAUCUUCACUUAACUCAAGCAAAGCUCCAAAGAAAUCACAUCUAAAUGGGCGUAGAGCUAUAAUUUCCAGUAAAACAUCGUGCUCCUAGGAAGUGGCAAUUUGAUGAAAGUGACUGCAAUGAAGCAAUCUUGCAAGCCGACAUGGCUUUUGAAGCUAAAUAUUGUUUGGUUAUGGUUGAUGUGGCAACCAAUUCAUUGAAUAACAGAUUUAAAGAACUCCAAUCAUUCAAAAAGUAUAUUUGGAUUUUUAAUGAAUUCAAUGGCCUCGAAGUUAGUGGACUGUUAUGAACUAAAAGACAAUUGCGCUAAAUUUGCAAGUUAUUUCUCUUCAGAUGAUUCAUCUAAUGUUGGGUUAAAGGAUCUAAUUUUUGAGUUAAGUGUUAUGCACUUGACUUUGUUCAAUAGACCAAUGUCUGCGAUGUGGAUUUUUGAGUUUGUCAGAGAAGCAGAUUGUUAUCCUAAUAUUUCUAUUGCCUAUUGGAUUUUAUUUACUAUGACUGACUGUAGCAUCAGCUGAAAGAAGCUUUUGAAAGUUGAAAUUGUUGAAAAACUACCUGAGAUCUGCAAUGUUAAAUGGCUUGGUAACUUAAUGCACUGAGAAGAAAUUAUUAGAUGAGAUUGAUAUUGAUACUAUAUUAGUUGCAUCUUGGAAUUUUAGAAGAAAAUUUCGAGUUAAUAUGUGUAAAUUUCUUUGUAUGAUUUUGGAUGCACCUAUUUUUUGGGGGUAAAAAAUCAUGUCUACUAAGGGCCCCGGAUUGUAGUUUCCCCCGGGCCCCUGAAAUCUCAGGACCGGCUCUGAGCGCGUACUGCAGCAAGACGCGCCCUCCGGUGAUGCGAGGGGAGGGGGCGAGAAAGGUGGUGGUGGUGUGGACUGUGGAGGCGCUAGGGUUCCAACUUGCCUGAUGUAUUUCAAUCGUUUUCUCUGACUAAUCUUUGAUGCUUUUACUAUAAUGGAAUCACACCCAUACUGUAAUAGUGUGCUAUCCUGCUACUAGGAAAUCAUGCAAAUAAUCCUUUACUUAUUGGUUGCUGUAGAUUGGUCCACUUAAUGUUGAUAGGUUGGAUUUCAGUGAUCAUCAUUUCUUCAAUGAUUAUGACCUAGAAUUAAUCCAAGAAAGAGUGAGGCAGCUUGUGGAUCAACAUAACAAAGAGACCGUAGUCUUAGUUACUGAGAAGGAUUACGACCGUGAUCCAGAUGUCCUUAGAAUGUUGGGCGUGAAGGUUUGGGUUCUGUCUUCUUCUUUGCAAAUUAUGGCCCUCAAGGAACAAGGAGAAGAUGAAUUGCUGAGGAAAUUAAAAGACAUUAUCACAGCAACUAGGCAUGUGGUCCAGCCAUGAGUUGCUGAUGGAUCUGGUUAUAUUCGGCUGGGCAUAUCUUGAAGCAAAAACAGUUUUCCAUUGGUCCUGUUAAUUCCGUAUAAUGUUAUAUCAGAUUUAUCUGGUUAAUUCAAAUCCUGUUUUGGCGUUUUGGAACAUGCAGUAUUUUAGUUUUUUUUUCCAACUGGGUCAGUGGUCUGAGCCUCCAGUUAACUUGAACUGGAUCUAACAAGAUAAUGAGGAGGGGAUUCCCGUCUAUUGCUCA